UACGUAGGGUGCAAGCGUUGUCCGGAAUUAUUGGGCGUAAAGAGCUCGUAGGCGGUUUGUCGCGUCUGCUGUGAAAACUCGGGGCUUAACUCCGGGCUUGCAGUGGGUACGGGCAGACUAGAGUGCGGUAGGGGAGACUGGAAUUCCUGGUGUAGCGGUGAAAUGCGCAGAUAUCAGGAGGAACACCGGUGGCGAAGGCGGGUCUCUGGGCCUUACCUGACGCUGAGGAGCGAAAGCGUGGGGAGCGAACAGG
rnacentral:rRNA from 1 species